rnacentral:lncRNA from 11 species
UCUAAACUAUGCCAAAUUGGGCCAGGACAGAGACACUCAGCAGGUUGAAGACAAGCCACAGAGGUUUAUUUGAUCUGGCCAGGACAGAUGCAAGUACAAGUGGAUGCUUUGAAGGUGAUGGGGAAAUACUUUGGAAAAAACAAAGAUGUGAGACACUAGGAACAAAAGUUUAGAAGAGCCAUGAUCAUGAAGACUGGAGGAUUCUCAGAAUUGUAGUCAAAAAAGUAAUUUUUCUAAGCACACAACUCUUUCCAGUGAAGAAAAAUGAAGAGAUACUGUCAUAUAACUUCAUUAAUUACACCUUUCUUUCUCAUAUUACUUCUGUUGUUGGCUUUGCUGUGUAUCCCUCCUGUUGUGAAAUCUAGCUGAACUUGGAGAAUUCUACAAUUAAAGACUGGACUGUCCACAAUUUUGUCUGGACUGUUCAUUUUCUUUGCAUCUCUCUCUCUUUGACAAACACUGCAGGUAAAGCAAUUUUGAUGGGAUUAAAUUAAAUUAAGAUUCUUUUCUUGCAGAAUUUCAGUGAUGUUUACAAAUGUUCUCAUUAAAAGCCACUUUGAAAGAAUUUUGAUGCACUCACAU